rnacentral:rRNA from 1 species
AACGAACGCUGGCGGCAGGCUUAACACAUGCAAGUCGAACGAGAUCUUCGGAUCUAGUGGCAGACGGGUGAGGAACCCGUGGGAACAUCCCUUUCAGUUCGGAAUUACGUUGGGAAACUAACGCUAAUACCGGAUACGUCUUUGGGAGAAAGAUUUAUCGCUGAAAGAUUGGCCCGCGUCUGAUUAGCUAGUUGGUGCGGUAACGGCUCACCAAGGCUACGAUCAGUAGCUGAUCUGAGAGGAUGAUCAGCCACAUUGGGACUGAGACACGGCCCCAACCCCUACGGGAGGCAGCAGUGGGGAAUAUUGGACAAUGGGCGCAAGCCUGAUCCAGCCAUGCCGCGUGAGUGAUGACGGCCUUCGGGUUGUAAAGCUCUUUUGUCCGGGAAGAUAAUGACUGUACCGGAAGAAUAAGCCCCGGCAAACUUCGUGCCAGCCGCCGCCGUAA